GACGAACGCUGGCGGCGUGCCUAAUACAUGCAAGUUGAGCGCUGAAGGUUGGUACUUGUACCAACUGGAUGAGCAGCGAACGGGUGAGUAACGCGUGGGGAAUCUGCCUUUGAGCGGGGGACAACAUUUGGAAACGAAUGCUAAUACCGCAUAAAAACUUUAAACACAAGUUUUAAGUUUGAAAGAUGCAAUUGCAUCACUCAAAGAUGAUCCCGCGUUGUAUUAGCUAGUUGGUGAGGUAAAGGCUCACCAAGGCGAUGAUACAUAGCCGACCAGAGAGGGUGAUCGGCCACAUUGGGACUGAGACACGGCCCAAACUCCUACGGGAGGCAGCAGUAGGGAAUCUUCGGCAAUGGACGAAAGUCUGACCGAGCAACGCCGCGUGAGUGAAGAAGGUUUUCGGAUCGUAAAACUCUGUUGGUAGAGAAGAACGUUGGUGAGAGUGGAAAGCUCAUCAAGUGACGGUAACUACCCAGAAAGGGACGGCUAACUACGUG
rnacentral:rRNA from 1 species